GACGAACCGAGCGAACGUUGUUCGGAAUCACUGGGCUUAAAGGGCGCGUAGGCGGGCCCGCCAGUCUGUGGUGAAAUCCUCCGGCUCAACCGGAGAACUGCCUCGGAUACUGCGGGUCUCGAGGGUGAUAGGGGUAUGCGGAACUAUCGGUGGAGCGGUGAAAUGCGUUGAUAUCGAUAGGAACUCCGGUGGCGAAGGCGGCAUACUGGAUCACUUCUGACGCUGAGGCGCGAAAACCAGGGGAGCAAACGGG
rnacentral:rRNA from 1 species